GGAUCGAUGAUAACACACAAAUAUGCAUUCCUUGGAAAAGCUGAACAGAAUGAGUGAGAAAACGCUACCGUCUCCACUCAUCGAACUGAGUUCC